GAUGAACGCUGGCGGCGUGCCUAAUACAUGCAAGUCGAGCGAACGGACGAGAAGCUUGCUUUUCUGAUGUUAGCGGCGGACGGGUGAGUAACACGUGGAUAACCUACCUAUAAGACUGGGAUAACUUCGGGAAACCGGAGCUAAUACCGGAUAAUAUUUUGAACCGCAUGGUUCAAAAGUGAAGGACGGUCUUGCUGUCACUUAUAGAUGGAUCCGCGCUGCAUUAGCUAGUUGGUAAGGUAACGGCUUACCAAGGCAACGAUGCAUAGCCGACCUGAGAGGGUGAUCGGCCACACUGGAACUGAGACACGGUCCAGACUCCUACGGGAGGCAGCAGUAGGGAAUCUUCCGCAAUGGGCGAAAGCCUGACGGAGCAACGCCGCGUGAGUGAUGAAGGUCUUCGGAUCGUAAAACUCUGUUAUUAGGGAAGAACAUAUGUGUAAGUAACUGUGCACAUCUUGACGGUACCUAAUCAGAAAGCCACGGCUAACUACGU
rnacentral:rRNA from 1 species